UACGGAGGGCGCAAGCGUUAAUCGGAAUUACUGGGCGUAAAGCGCACGUAGGCGGCAAUGUAAGUCGGUCGUGAAAGCCCUCGGCUCAACCGAGGAACUGCGGUCGAUACUGCAUAGCUAGAGUAUCGGAGAGGGUGGCGGAAUUCCGGGUGUAGGAGUGAAAUCCGUAGAUAUCCGGAGGAACACCAGUGGCGAAGGCGGCCACCUGGACGAUUACUGACGCUGAGGUGCGAAAGCGUGGGGAGCAAACAGG
rnacentral:rRNA from 1 species